rnacentral:misc_RNA from 1 species
GUAUAACUUUUUUAUAGGUACAAAAAAGGACCUUUACUCGACAUUCUAGACAUGAAGGUUGUGAAACAUAGACCUGGAGGAUGAAAAGGGGAAAGCCGACCUCUCUUCGGAAGCACAGCAGUCCCCACUCGGAACGAAUCCAAAACCUCCAUCCAGGGUCUACAAUACGUGCACAGUAGGGAGAAAUGAUAAAGAUGACAAGCGUGCACAUCGUCCUGGGACCAGCAACAGCCUGUUCAAGUUUAUUCGAUAAUGAUCCUUCCGCAGGUUCACCUACGGAAA